rnacentral:rRNA from 1 species
CUAUAUCUGGUUUGAGAGGAUGAUCAGACACACUGGGACUGAGACACGGCCCAGACUCCUACGGGAGGCAGCAGUGGGGNAUAUUGGACAAUGGGGGNAACCCUGAUCCANGAUGCCGCGUGAGUGAUGAAGGCCUAGGG